ensembl:lncRNA
GUGCUGACUAAGACUCUAGAUGAGCCAUUAAGUGUUUGAAGUGUUACAGGCCAAAAUAGAAAAAAAAAGUACUUUUUUUUUUUUUUUACUGAUUUUGUUUAUCAAUACACAUGCAUAAAUUCUUUUUUUUUUUUUUAACUGAUUUUGUUUAUCAAUAUACAUGCAUUAAUACUUUUUUUUUUUAACUGGCAGGAAAGGCAGGAAAGUCAUUGGCUAGCCUUGUUAGGUGCUGACUAAGACUGUAGAUGAGCCAUUUAGUGUUUGAAGUGUUACAGGCCAAAAUAGAAAAAAAUAGUAAGAGCAUAUUGGUAACCUCGACCGGUUAAGCAAAAAAGGCAGGAAAGUCAUUGGCUAGCCUUGUUAGGUGCUGACUAAGACUCUAGAUGAGCCAUUAAGUGUUUGAAGUGUUACAGGCCAAAAUAGAAAAAAAAAGUACUUUUUUUUUUUUUUACUGAUUUUGUUUAUCAAUAUACAUGCAUAAAUACUUUUUUUUUAACUGAUUUAAGUGUUACAGGCCAAAAGAGAAAAAGAUUGUAUGAGCCAAUGUAACCUCGACCGGUUAAGCAAAAAAGGCAGGAAAGUCAUUGGCUAGCCUUGUUAGGUGCUGACUAAGACUGUAGAUGAGCCAUUAAGUGUUUGAAGUGUUACAGGCCAAAAUAGAAAAAAAAAGUACUUUUUUUUUUUUUUUACUGAUUUUGUUUAUCAAUACACAUGCAUAAAUACUUUUUUUUUUCUUUUUUUAACUGAUUUAAGUGGUACAGGCCAAAAGAGAAAAAAUUUGUACGAGCAUAUUGGUAACCUCGACCGGUUAAGCAAAAAAGGCAGGAAAGUCAUUGGCUAGCCUUGUUAGGUGCUGACUAAGACUGUAGAUGAGCCAUUAAGUGUUUGAAGUGUUACAGGCCAAAAUAGUACUUUUUUUUUUUUUAACUGAUUUUGUUUAUCAAUAUACAUGCAUAAAUACUUUUUUUUUUAACUGAUUUAAGUGUUACAGGCCAAAAGAGAAAAAGAUUGUAUGAGCCAAUGUAACCUCGACCGGUUAAGCAAAAAAGGCAGGAAAGUCAUUGGCUAGCCUUGUUAGGUGCUGACUACGACUGUAGAUGAGCGAUUAAGUGUUUGAAGUGUUACAGGCCAAAAUAGAAAAAA